rnacentral:misc_RNA from 1 species
GAAAUGCGAUAAGUAAUGCGAAUUGCAGAAUUCCGUGAGUCAUCGAAUCUUUGAACGCACAUUGCGCCCUUUGGUAUUCCGAAGGGCAUGCCUAUUCGAGCGUCAUUAUCCACCCUCAAGCCCGGCUUGGUCUUGGAACUCGACCGGUUUUCGAUCGGUCGGCUCCGAAAGAUAAUGGCGGUGGUGUCGAAUGACCCCCGGUGCAGCGAGCUUUUUCAGCAUACACUGAGUGGUGAUCGACCGACCGGUCUUCCCUUUUUUUUUAUCAGGUUGACCUCGGAUUAGGUAGGAGUACCCGCUGAACUUAA